rnacentral:rRNA from 1 species
ACGGGUGAGUAAUGUCUGGGGAUCUGCCCGAUAGAGGGGGACAACCACUGGAAACGGUGGCUAAUACCGCAUAACGUCGCAAGACCAAAGAGGGGGACCUUCGGGCCUCUCACUAUCGGAUGAACCCAGAUGGGAUUAGCUAGUAGGCGGGGUAACGGCCCACCUAGGCGACGAUCCCUAGCUGGUCUGAGAGGAUGACCAGCCACACUGGAACUGAGACACGGUCCAGACUCCUACGGGAGGCAGCAGUGGGGAAUAUUGCACAAUGGGCGCAAGCCUGAUGCAGCCAUGCCGCGUGUAUGAAGAAGGCCUUCGGGUUGUAAAGUACUUUCAGCGGGGAGGAAGGCAGUGAGGUUAAUAACCUUACUGAUUGACGUUACCCGCAGAAGAAGCACCGGCUAACUCCGUGCCAGCAGCCGCGGUAAUACGGAGGGUGCAAGCGUUAAUCGGAAUUACUGGGCGUAAAGCGCACGCAGGCGGUCUGUUAAGUCAGAUGUGAAAUCCCCGGGCUUAACCUGGGAACUGCAUUUGAAACUGGCAGGCUUGAGUCUCGUAGAGGGGGGUAGAAUUCCAGGUGUA